GACGAACGCUGGCGGCGUGCUUAACACAUGCAAGUCGAGCGGUAAGGCCCUUUCGGGGGUACACGAGCGGCGAACGGGUGAGUAACACGUGGGUGACCUGCCCUCAGCUCUGGGAUAAGCCUGGGAAACCGGGUCUAAUACCGGAUAUGACUCCAUGACGCAUGUUGUGGGGUGGAAAGCCUUGUGCGGCUGAGGAUGGGCCCGCGGCCUAUCAGCUUGUUGGUGGGGUGAUGGCCUACCAAGGCGACGACGGGUAGCCGGCCUGAGAGGGCGACCGGCCACACUGGGACUGAGACACGGCCCAGACUCCUACGGGAGGCAGCAGUCGGGAAUUUUGGCAAUGGGCGAAAGCCUGACCCAGCAACGCCGCGUGAAGGAUGAAAUCCCUCGGGAUGUAAACUUCGCAAGAAUGGGAAGAAUUAGUAGGGUUAAUACCCCC
rnacentral:rRNA from 1 species